rnacentral:rRNA from 1 species
AAUAAUAAUUAUGAAAGCAAAAAAUUAUGGCGGUAUUUUAAGCUUUUCAGAGGAAUUUGCUCUUUAAUGGAUAAAACACCAAAAUCUUACUUAAAUUUGUGAUUUCAAUUUGUAUACCACUAUUAAAACAAUUUAUAACUUUAAUUGUUUAAAUUUACAAAACUAAAAUAUAUUAAGUCAAGGUGCAGUAAAAAUUUAAGAAUGAAGUGAAUUACAUUACUUUUUAGUGAUAUAAAUUUAUAACAAUAUUUAGGAUUUGAAAGUAAAAUUAAAAUAGGAUGUUAA